UAGAAGGGAAUACUUAGGGCAGUCAGGGUCAUUGUUGGCUUUAUGACACCAUCUGGCCAUUAUUUUGUAUGCUGAGGAUCCUACAGAGUGACGAGACAGAGUUUCUGUUCUAGGAGCUUCCAGUUCAGUUUGGGAGAUGUGCAGCACCAUGAAGCACCAGAUAUUGGCCUGUUCUAAGUGGCAGACAAAAAAACACAGGCAAGGAGAUCAAAGGAGGGGCUGUCACACAGGCUGCGGGAGUCUGGGAACACUUCAGGGAAACCGACCUCACGCUGGGCUUUGAAGGCAGCUGGGACACGAACUCAGGAACUGAAAAGAUACUCUUGGAACAUUCCAGUGAAGUGUGUGGGAGAAGGAAAUGGACCAGGUGGGAUCAAAUUCUCUUAGAUCCUUUGUGGGCUGCUCCUUUGAACAAAAACCUCUGAAGAAACCGUUGGGAAAUGAGACUAAGUCAAAACUGAACUACAAAGAGUCAAAGCACCAAAGAGAUUGCUUGGAUGGGAUCCAGCUAUUGCCUGCAAAACCUGUGAACUACAAAGGACAGAACCAGCUGGUGAAAUUUAUUCCUAGAAAAUCUGACGGGAGUCUCCCAUUUCACAGCAACCGAAGACAAUGGUUUAAAAGCUUUCCUUAAAUGCAUUCUCUCUCAUUUCUGGUUUUCAUUUGAAAGGAAGGGGAUUUCCCUCUGAGAGAUUUCAUUAGAAAGACAGAAACAACAGCUCUUCUUCCCAAACCACACUUCUCAGUUUCUAAUUCCUUAAAAGCGCAGAUGUCUUUGUUCUGGGUCUCAGAAUCUUAGUGGUAAAGGAAGACAGACUGGUUUGCUGUUGAGAAAAAGGGGGUGAUUGGAGAACUGGAAGCACUACCCUAAAAUUCUUAACCAAACAGUCUGGAAGAAGUGUCUGGUUUCUAACCCAUUUCUUAUUUUUAUAUUUCAUGGAAAGAAUCACUUAAUUUGUUCAAAGAGUUGAUUCACAAAGUAUCACUAACUCAUUUUUUUCCCUCCUGACUUGUCU
ensembl:lincRNA